UGUGCAAUAAACGAAAGUAUGACACAGAGAGGACACAUUUAAUUGAGCCCGUCAAAUUAAGUGCCAGCCGACGCGGUUAAACUUAAGGGCUGGUCUUUAUAAGUAAAAAGGCGUAAAGGAUGUGUAGGCCAAGAAACGACCCAAGUAGGUAAAUGGAAUUUUUCUGGAGCGGUAGAAUGUGAGGAUAGAAAAUAGAACCCCAAAGGUAAAAACUAUUUACCACAAGGUAGGCUGAAACAUGAGAGUGUGGGGAGCAAACAGGAUUAGAGACCCUGGUAGUCCACACUGUGAACUUUGAAGAUGAUGCUUAGCAGACCCGAAAGGUAAAAUCUUCCGCCUGAGUAGUACGAUCGCAAGAUUAAAAUUCAAAAACUUUGGCUGUUCACUAUUUCGAUUAAAGGAGCGUGUAGUUUAAUUCGAUGGUCCGCGUGUUACCUUACCCCAACUUGAAUCUGUGACCGGUAUUGCAUGGCCGUCGUAAGUUCGUGUAUUAAGCUAGAAGGGACCCAACCCGGGCAUUUGCCCGGAGGAAGUCAGGUCUUAUGAUCCGAAUGUUGGGGGAUUUUUAUGCGCUACAUUUUCUUAUAUAAUGAGAAACCUGGAAGGUGAGUCUCUAAAGUAAGAGUUCGGAAGGUCGCUGUAAGACGACUGGAAGUUGGAUUUAAUAGUAAUCGGAAAGUAGGGCGUUCCGGUGAAUUGGUACAAGUGUUAGCACAAAUUGCCCGUCACCUUUACUUAGAAGGUUAUUCGG
rnacentral:rRNA from 1 species